rnacentral:rRNA from 1 species
GAGGACGAGGACUGUCGCUGGCCUUCAACCGAGGCAUGUGCACGCUCUCUUCUGGACUUUCGCCGUAUGGGCGCGGGGCGACCCGCGUCUUCAUAUACCUCUUCGUGUAGAAAGUCUUCGAAUGUUUUUACCAUCAUCGAGUCGCGACUUCUAGGAGACGCGAUUCUUUGAGACAAAAGUUAUCACAACUUUCAGCAAUGGAUCUCUUGGCUCUCGCAUCGAUGAAGAACGCAGCGAAUCGCGAUAUGUAAUGUGAAUUGCAGAUCUACAGUGAAUCAUCGAAUCUUUGAACGCACCUUGCGCUCCUCGGUGUUCCGAGGAGCAUGCCUGUUUGAGCGUCAGUAAAUUCUCAACCCCUCUCGAUUUGCUUCGAGUGGGGCUUGGAUAGUGGGGGCUGCCGGAGACCUGAAAUUCAUUUCGGGACUCGGGCUCCUCUGAAAUGCAUCGGCUUGCGGUCGACUUUCGACUUUGCGCGACAAAGCUUUCGGCGUGAUAAUGAUCGCCGUUCGCUGAAGCGCAUCAAUGAACGGUCCCGUGCCUCUAAUCAGUCGACGCCUUCGGGGCGUCUUCCUUAUAGACGUUUGACCUCAAAUCAGGUAGGACUACCCGCUGAACUUAAGCAUAUCAAUAAGCGGAGGAAAAGAAACUAACAAGGAUUCCCCUAGUAACUGCGAGUGAACCGGGAAAAGCUCAAAUUUUGAAUCUGGCGGUCUUUACGGUCGUCCGAGUUGUAAUCUAGAGAAGCGUCU